UCAGCCCACACAUCCAGCGCAACAUCCGCAUUUCUGCCACCCUCAUCUUUUGGAUGUGGAAGUUCUUAACUGGCCAACACUCCGCUCCAUACAACUGGUGGUAAAAGUCAAAAAAAAAAAAUCCCCUGAGCCACUUGAGCUGAGAGCUGAGCAAUGUUUUCUCCCACUCCUGAAUCUCCUUUACAGCUUGAACAUGAAAAUGUAAUUUACUUCUCGGAUACUCGCUAAUAGAAAAUUUUGGUGCCAAUUGUUAUUUUAUUUAUGGCUUUCUUCCUUUUCCAACUUUUUUGAGUUAUUGACACAUUUUUCUUGCUCUUUCUCCUUUGCCUUCCAAAUUUUAAAACACUUCUCUAUCUAAUACCAAAUAGAGCCAUCUUUGUCUUUUCUGUUUUGGCCUAUUCCUUUAAUAUCGAUCUCUGUUCUUAAGUGAGUGUCACAACAUGUUAUAUGAUGCAGGAAAGUUUCUGUCAUCUUGUUCAGAAAGGAGGCAUAGUUAUUCGUGUUAUUUAAAGUGGCUGUCUAGCAGCUAUUAUUUACUCCCUCAUUUCAUUUUAUAUGGCCCUAUACUAAUAUUAGUAAGUAUUUACAUAGUUGAUCCCAAUUUGUUCAUAAUGAAGGUGUAGUCAUUCUUGUUGUUUAAAGCGGCAGUCUAGAAACUAUUAUGUACUCCCUCAAGUUUCAUUUUACUUGACCCAAUACUAAUAGUAGUUGUUUCAAUUUAUUUGUCCAUUUUCACACAUCAAUAGAGUUUUAUCACUAACUACUUUUAGUAAUAGUCAAAUUUAAUAAUAUGAAAUGUACUGAGUACAUUAUGCUUUUUAUUUCUCCUGAGUUUAGUGGAAAAUUUUCAUCUUAUAUAUACUUCAAUGUUUGAUAAGUUCAAAAACUAAUAGAAGGGAAGAAUGCCCAAUUCACACCCCGAAAGAAUGGAUGCUGUUUGAUCUUAUUUGCUCCUUCGCGGGAUUCUAACCUGCUUUUGGGAUCUCUAUGUAGCAAUCUAUACAUUAACUGCUUGGAGACUCUUAGGAGAGUAUGACUGAUUAGAAAAUAUCUAAAAGGCAUAACAGAUAUCCAAACUUAAUUCAUUUUUCCUUAAAUGUAUAAUUUAGUACUUUCCUAUGCUGUAGGCAUAUGUUCAACAGCUGGAGAAUAGCUGGCUAAAUUUAUCAUAUUUGGAACAUGACCUUCAGUGAGCAUAUCAACAGGGAAAGUACAUAUCAAACAUGGGAGAUCAAUCAAACAGAGUGGACGCUAGUGGAAGCAAUUGCGACUGAAAUAAUGUGUUUGUCCUACUUGAAGAGGAUAGUAGAGCUUCAAUUUUCUUGAUUUUACCUCAUUAACAGAGCCUAGUGAAUGAGAUAACUUGGGAAAUCCAUCUGCAUUCAAUACGCUGUGGAUGGCAUUACGUUUGAAAUUGAGGAACAAAGUUAACGGCAGCUUCCAGUAGGUCCUCAAGGUGAAUGGACUUGGUUGAUAUUCAUAAUUAUCACCUAAAUUGCUCUGACUCUCCAAAAAUGUUGGCACACCAGUGUCGGAACCUUCAAAAGUACAUUAUUUUUUGAGGAUCCGACACGCACCCAUUGACAUUUUUGAAGAGUUUGAGCAACAUAGAUUCUCAAACUUGUGAUGGUUGUUAUGAUAAAGAUAAUGAAUGAGUCAGUUGUUGCUUUAUGCAUUCAGUUUAAUAUAGCACUUUUUUGCUUUAUGCAUUUAGUUUAAUAUAGCACUUUUUUGUACUAGGCUGGCUUAUUUUAAUAAGAUAAUGUUCAACCACUUGUCUAGUUUCUGGUUGCACUCAAACAGUUGUUUCCUCGUGCUAAGAUAACGUUUCAGAUUCUAUCGUUUUGCAUGGACCUUAGAAUUUGAUGCAGAAUAUAGUCGAUGGUUAGAAGAACAGAACAAGCAUAUCAAUGAGUUGAGGAAUGCUGUCAAUUCUCAUGCAAGUAACCUUGAUCUGCAUAGUAUUGUGAAUAAUGUCACUGCAUAUUUCGAUGCGGUCUUCAAGUUGAAAGAAAAUGCAGCAAAGGCGGACAUUUCCAUGUCUUGUUAGGGAUGUGGAAAACCCUUGCCGAGCGGUAUUUUAUGUGGAAUGGUGGCUUCCGCCCCUCAGAACUUUAAGCCAAAUGAUGUGGCUAGUGGGUCCAUUUCAUCCAUGGAUGCAAGGAGAUUACGUGAUGAUAGCGAUCCUAAUGACAGUCGUUGAUUUUUUUGUAAAUUAUCUUGGAUAUUUAAUUAUAAUGAUGUAAUUGUGUGGUUGGAGUGAAUCUUAGAAUAUUGAAGCUUUUAUGUUUA